rnacentral:rRNA from 1 species
AGAGUUUGAUCCUGGCUCAGGACGAACGCUGGCGGCGUGCCUAAUACAUGCAAGUCGAGCGGACAGAUGGGAGCUUGCUCCCUGAUGUUAGCGGCGGACGGGUGAGUAACACGUGGGUAACCUGCCUGUAAGACUGGGAUAACUCCGGGAAACCGGGGCUAAUACCGGAUGGUUGUUUGAACCGCAUGGUUCAAACAUAAAAGGUGGCUUCGGCUACCACUUACAGAUGGACCCGCGGCGCAUUAGCUAGUUGGUGAGGUAACGGCUCACCAAGGCGACGAUGCGUAGCCGACCUGAGAGGGUGAUCGGCCACACUGGGACUGAGAUACGGCCCAGACUCCUACGGGAGGCAGCAGUAGGGAAUCUUCCGCAAUGGACGAAAGUCUGACGGAGCAACGCCGCGUGAGUGAUGAAGGUUUUCGGAUCGUAAAGCUCUGUUGUUAGGGAAGAACAAGUACCGUUCGAAUAGGGCGGUACCUUGACGGUACCUAACCAGAAAGCCACGGCUAACUACGUGCCAGCAGCCGCGGUAAUACGUAGGUGGCAAGCGUUGUCCGGAAUUAUUGGGCGUAAAGGGCUCGCAGGCGGUUUCUUAAGUCUGAUGUGAAAGCCCCCGGCUCAACCGGGGAGGGUCAUUGGAAACUGGGGAACUUGAGUGCAGAAGAGGAGAGUGGAAUUCCACGUGUAGCGGUGAAAUGCGUAGAGAUGUGGAGGAACACCAGUGGCGAAGGCGACUCUCUGGUCUGUAACUGACGCUGAGGAGCGAAAGCGUGGGGAGCGAACAGGAUUAGAUACCCUGGUAGUCCACGCCGUAAACGAUGAGUGCUAAGUGUUAGGGGGUUUCCGCCCCUUAGUGCUGCAGCUAGCGCAUUAAGCACUCCGCCUGGGGAGUACGGUCGCAAGACUGAAACUCAAAGGAAUUGACGGGGGCCCGCACAAGCGGUGGAGCAUGUGGUUUAAUUCGAAGCAACGCGAAGAACCUUACCAGGUCUUGACAUCCUCUGACAAUCCUAGAGAUAGGACGUCCCCUUCGGGGGCAGAGUGACAGGUGGUGCAUGGUUGUCGUCAGCUCGUGUCGUGAGAUGUUGGGUUAAGUCCCGCAACGAGCGCAACCCUUGAUCUUAGUUGCCAGCAUUCAGUUGGGCACUCUAAGGUGACUGCCGGUGACAAACCGGAGGAAGGUGGGGAUGACGUCAAAUCAUCAUGCCCCUUAUGACCUGGGCUACACACGUGCUACAAUGGACAGAACAAAGGGCAGCGAAACCGCGAGGUUAAGCCAAUCCCACAAAUCUGUUCUCAGUUCGGAUCGCAGUCUGCAACUCGACUGCGUGAAGCUGGAAUCGCUAGUAAUCGCGGAUCAGCAUGCCGCGGUGAAUACGUUCCCGGGCCUUGUACACACCGCCCGUCACACCACGAGAGUUUGUAACACCCGAAGUCGGUGAUGUAACCUUUUAGGAGCCAGCCGCCGAAGGUGGGACAGAUGAUUGGGGUGAAGUCGUAACAAGGUAGCCGUAUCGGAAGGUGCGGCUG